CCUACGGGAGGCAGCAGUGGGGGAUAUUGCACAAUGGGGGGAACCCUGAUGCAGCGACGCCGCGUGGGUGAAGAAGCGCCUCGGCGCGUAAAGCCCUGUCAGCAGGGAAGAAAAUGACGGUACCUGAAGAAGAAGCCCCGGCUAACUACGUGCCAGCAGCCGCGGUAAUCCGUAGGGGGCACGCGUUCUCCGGAUUUACUGGGUGUAAAGGGGGCGCAGCCGGCGAUGCAAGCCAGGAGUGAAAGCCCGGGGCUCAACCCCGGGACUGCUCUUGGAACUGCGUGGCGGGAGUGCAGGAGGGGCAGGCGGAAUGCCUGGUGUAGCGGUGAAAUGCGUAGAUAUCAGGAGGAACACCGGUGGCGAAGGCGGCCUGCUGGACUGCAACUGACGUUGAGGCCCGAAAGCGUGGGGAGCAAACAGGAUUAGAUACCCGUGUAGUC
rnacentral:rRNA from 1 species